rnacentral:tRNA from 1 species
GUAUUGUUUGGGUGGACAACGCGAUGGCGUUUGAAGCGAGAGGUACUGGGUUCGAGUCCCAGAGUGAAC